rnacentral:rRNA from 1 species
UACGUAGGGGGCAAGCGUUGUCCGGAUUUAUUGGGCGUAAAGAGCUCGUAGGCGGUUCCGUAAGUCGUGAAGUCAAAUCUCUGGGCUCAACCCAGAAUCGCUUCCGAUACUGCGGUGACUGGAGUCCGGUAGGGGAGUGUGGAAUUCCUGGUGUAGCGGUGAAAUGCGCAGAUAUCAGGAGGAACACCAACAGCGAAGGCAGCACUCUGGGCCGGUACUGACGCUGAAGAGCGAAAGCAUGGGGAGCGAACAGG